CGCGUCGACCGAAAGGUUUGUUUUCAUUCCUCUGUUUAGCUAAAUGGACAUUCCCGGUCGGAAUAUUAUCGCUUUUUUUACGAGAAAAAUGGCAUAAAAAUGGAUUUUAAACAGCGGUUGACAUGCUUUGAAUGUCUGGGACGCACGAACAAAACGCCGCUAUUCGGAUAUAACGAUGGAUUAUUUUGGACCAAACCAACAUUUGUUAUUGAAGUAGCAGUCCUGGGAGUGCAUUCUGACGAAGACAACAAAAGGACCUGAGCCCUAGGACCAUGCCUCAGGACUACCUGGCUUGAUGACUCCUUGCUGUCCCCAGUUCACCUGGCCGUGCUGCUGCUCCAGUUCCAACUGUUCUGCCUGCGGCUAUAGAGCCCUGACCUGUUCACUGGACGCGCUACCUGUCCCAGACCUGCUG
rnacentral:lncRNA from 1 species